rnacentral:tRNA from 1 species
GGAAGGGUGGCAGAGUGGUCGAUCGCUCCGGUCUUGAAAACCGGCGAGGGAGAAAUCCCUCCGUGGGUUCGAAUCCCACCCCUUCCGCCA